rnacentral:misc_RNA from 1 species
GAUGAAGAACGUAGUGAAAUGCGAUAAGUAAUGUGAAUUGCAGAAUUCAGUAAAUCAUCGAAUCUUUGAACGCACAUUGCGCCCGCCAGUAUUCUGGCGGGCAUGCCUGUUCGAGCGUCAUUUCAACCAUCAAGCCCCAGGCUUGUGUUGGGGACCUGCGGCUGCCGCAGGCCCUGAAAACCAGUGGCGGGCUCGCUGUCACACCGGGCGUAGUAGAUUUUAUCUCGCUCUGGGCGUGCUGCGGGUUCCGGCCGUUAAAAAACCCUUUUAACCCAAGGUUGACCUCGGAUCAGGUAGGAAUACCCGCUGAACUUAAGCAUAUCAAUAAGCGGAGGA